CUCCAGAACGGGCAUCCACACCACAGAAUUCAUGCUGCAACGAGAAUGAAUAAGACGAGUGCUACGCGCAACAACACUGGUGACUGUCGCAAACACCAUGUUGCAGGAAGGACAUUACGGAUAAGAGAGUAAACAUGGAGAUUGAAGCUCAGAGACUUGUUGGAGCUCACAGCGGCACUGGGACAUUUGGACCAAGAGCUUUUCUCCCUUCCGAGUCAGUGCAUGAUGCCAGAGAACAUCCCUGGGGUUCCCAUGGUGCUGUUAUGGCUGUCCUGUUUCUUACCCUAGAUGCUUUCAGGAAAGACUAAGAUCCUUUUCCUGGAGGGAGGAUAAAGAACCUGGAGAUGAGAAAUGACAUG
rnacentral:lncRNA from 1 species